AGUGAACGCUGGCGGUAGGCCUAACACAUGCAAGUCGAACGGCAGCACAGUAAGAGCUUGCUCUUACGGGUGGCGAGUGGCGGACGGGUGAGGAAUACAUCGGAAUCUACUUUUUCGUGGGGGAUAACGUAGGGAAACUUACGCUAAUACCGCAUACGACCUACGGUUGAAAGCAGGGGAUCUUCGGACCUUGCGCGAUUGAAUGAGCCGAUGUCGGAUUAGCGAGUUGGCGGGGUAAAGGCCCACCAAGGCGACGAUCCGUAGCUGGUCUGAGAGGAUGAUCAGCCACACUGGAACUGAGACACGGUCCAGACUCCUACGGGAGGCAGCAGUGGGGAAUAUUGGACAAUGGGCGCAAGCCUGACCCAGCCAUACCGCGUGGGUGAAGAAGGCCUUCGGGUUGUAAAGCCCUUUUGUUGGGAAAGAAAAGCAGCAGGUUAAUACCCCGCUGUUCUGACGGUACCCAAAGAAUAAGCACCGGCUAACUUCGUG
rnacentral:rRNA from 1 species